rnacentral:rRNA from 1 species
GAUGAACGCUGGCGGCGUGCCUAAUACAUGCAAGUCGAGCGAACGGACGAGAAGCUUGCUUCUUUGAUGUUAGCGGCGGACGGGUGUGUAACACGUGUAUAACCUACCUAUAAGACUGGGAUCACUUCGGGAAACCGGAUCUAAUACCGGAUGAUAUUUUGAACCGCAUGGUUCAAAAGUGAAAGACGGUCUUGCUGUCACUUAUAGAUGGAUCCGCGCUGCAUUAGCUAGUUGGUAAGGUAACGGCUUACCAAGGCAACGAUGCAUAGCCGACCUGAGAGGGUGAUAGGCCGCACGGGAACUGAGACACGGUCAAGACUCCUACGGGAGGCAGCAGUAGGGAAUCUUACGCAAUGGGCGAGAGCAUGACGGAGCGACGCCGCGUGAGUGAUGGAGGUCUUCGGAUCGUGAAACUCUGUUAUUGGGGAAGAACAUAUGUGUAAGUAGAUGUGCACAUCUUGACGGUACCUAAUCAAAAAGCAACGGCUAACUACGUG